GAUGAACGCUGGCGGCGUGCCUAAUACAUGCAAGUCGAGCGAACGGACGAGAAGCUUGCUUCUCUGAUGUUAGCGGCGGACGGGUGAGUAACACGUGGAUAACCUACCUAUAAGACUUGGAUAACUUCGGGAAACCGUAGCUAAUACCGGAUAAUAUUUUGAACCGCAUGGUUCAAAAGUGAAAGACGGUCUUGCUGUCACUUAUAGAUGGAUCCGCGCUGCAUUAGCUAGUUGGUAAGGUAACGGCUUACCAAGGCAACGAUGCAUAGCCGACCUGAGAGGGUGAUCGGCCACACUGGAACUGAGACACGGUCCAGAAUCCUACGGGAGGCAGCAGUAGGGAAUCUUCCGCAAUGGGCGAAAGCCUGACGGAGCAACGCCGCGUGAGUGAUGAAGGUCUUCGGAUCGUAAAACUCUGUUAUUAGGGAAGAACAUAUGUGUAAGUAACUGUGCACAUCUUGACGGUACCUAAUCAGAAAGCCACGGCUAACUACGUG
rnacentral:rRNA from 1 species